rnacentral:rRNA from 1 species
AGCGGCGGACGGGUGCGUAAUACUUAGGAAUCUGCCCAGUAGUGGGGGACAACACGGGGAAACUCGUGCUAAUACCGCAUACACCUUACGAGGAAAAGGGGCCUUAGGGUCUCGCUAUUGGAUGAGCCUAAGCAAGAUUAGCUAGUUGGUGGGGUAAAGGCCUACCAAGGCGACGAUCUUUAGCUGGUCUGAGAGGAUGAUCAGCCACACUGGGACUGAGACACGGCCCAGACUCCUACGGGAGGCAGCAGUGGGGAAUAUUGGACAAUGGGGGAAACCCUGAUCCAGCCAUGCCGCGUGUGUGAAGAAGGCCUUUUGGUUGUAAAGCACUUUAAGCAGGGAGGAAAGCUAAUAUGUUAAUACCAUGUUAGUGUGACGUUACCUGCAGAAUAAGCACCGGCUAACUCUGUGCCAGCAGCCGCGGUAAUACAGAGGGUGCGAGCGUUAAUCGGAAUUACUGGGCGUAAAGCGCGCGUAGGCGGAUUGAUAAGUCAGAUGUGAAAGCCCCGGGCUUAACCUGGGAACUGCAUUUGAUACUGUUAAUCUUGAGUAUGGUAGAGGUAAGCGGAAUUUCCAGUGUAGCAGUGAAAUGCGUAGAGAUUGGAAGGAAUAUCGAUGGCGAAGGCAGCUUACUGGGCCAAUACUGACGCUGAGGUGCGAAAGCGUGGGUAGCGAACGGGAUUAGAUACCCCGGUAGUCCACGCCGUAAACGAUGUCAACUAGGUGUAGGGUCCUUGAGGUUCUGUGCCGCAGCUAACGCAUUAAGUUGACCGCCUGGGGAGUACGCACGCAAGUGUAAAACUCAAAGGAAUUGACGGGGACCCGCACAAGCGGUGGAGCAUGUGGUUUAAUUCGAUGCAACGCGAAGAACCUUACCAAGCCUUGACAUCUAGCGAAGUUUCCAGAGAUGGAUUCGUGCCUUCGGGAGCGCUAAGACAGGUGUUGCAUGGUUGUCGUCAGCUCGUGUCGUGAGAUGUUGGGUUAAGUCCCGCAACGAGCGCAACCCUUAUCCUUAUUUGCCAGCACGUUAUGGUGGGAACUCUAGGGAGACUGCCGGUGACAAACCGGAGGAAGGUGGGGACGACGUCAAGUCAUCAUGGCCCUUACGGCUUGGGCUACACACGUGCUACAAUGGACGUUACAGACGGUUGCCAACCUGCGAGGGGGAGCUAAUCUGAGAAAGGCGUUCGUAGUCCGGAUUGCAGUCUGCAACUCGACUGCAUGAAGUCGGAAUCGCUAGUAAUCGCGAAUCAGAAUGUCGCGGUGAAUACGUUCCCGGGUCUUGUACACACUGCCCGUCACACCAUGGGAGUUGGUUGCAAAAGAAGUAGGUAGUCUAACUUUUAGAGGACGCUUACCACUUUGUGGUCAAUGACUGGGGUGAAGUCGUAACAAGGUAACC